rnacentral:rRNA from 2 species
GGUUAAGCGACUAAGCGUACACGGUGGAUGCCCUGGCAGUCAGAGGCGAUGAAGGACGUGCUAAUCUGCGAUAAGCGCCGGUAAGGUGAUAUGAACCGUUAUAACCGGCGAUUUCCGAAUGGGGAAACCCAGUGUGAUUCGUCACACUAUCAUUAACUGAAUCCAUAGGUUAAUGAGGCGAACCGGGGGAACUGAAACAUCUAAGUACCCCGAGGAAAAGAAAUCAACCGAGAUUCCCCCAGUAGCGGCGAGCGAACGGGGAGGAGCCCAGAGCCUGAAUCAGCAUGUGUGUUAGUGGAAGCGUCUGGAAAGGCGCGCGAUACAGGGUGACAGCCCCGUACACAAAAGCGCAUGUGCUGUGAGCUCGAUGAGUAGGGCGGGACACGUGGUAUCCUGUCUGAAUAUGGGGGGACCAUCCUCCAAGGCUAAAUACUCCUGACUGACCGAUAGUGAACCAGUACCGUGAGGGAAAGGCGAAAAGAACCCCGGCGAGGGGAGUGAAAAAGAACCUGAAACCGUGUACGUACAAGCAGUGGGAGCACAGGUUUACCUGUGUGACUGCGUACCUUUUGUAUAAUGGGUCAGCGACUUAUAUUCUGUAGCAAGGUUAACCGAAUAGGGGAGCCGGAGGGAAACCGAGUCUUAAUUGGGCGUUAAGUUGCAGGGUAUAGACCCGAAACCCGGUGAUCUAGCCAUGGGCAGGUUGAAGGUUGGGUAACACUAACUGGAGGACCGAACCGACUAAUGUUGAAAAAUUAGCGGAUGACCUGUGGCUGGGGGUGAAAGGCCAAUCAAACCGGGAGAUAGCUGGUUCUCCCCGAAAGCUAUUUAGGUAGCGCCUCGUGAAUUCAUCUCCGGGGGUAGAGCACUGUUUCGGCUAGGGGGCCAUCCCGGCUUACCAACCCGAUGCAAACUGCGAAUACCGGAGAAUGUUAUCACGGGAGACACACGGCGGGUGCUAACGUCCGUCGUGAAGAGGGAAACAACCCAGACCGCCAGCUAAGGUCCCAAAGUCAUGGUUAAGUGGGAAACGAUGUGGGAAGGCCCAGACAGCCAGGAUGUUGGCUUAGAAGCAGCCAUCAUUUAAAGAAAGCGUAAUAGCUCACUGGUCGAGUCGGCCUGCGCGGAAGAUGUAACGGGGCUAAACCAUGCACCGAAGCUGCGGCAGCGAACGUAUCACCCAAGACAACUUUACGGAGUUGACGAUUGACGGAGCGAAGCGACGUCAAAGCGUUCAUUAAAGUCGAGUUGGCUUAGGGAUACGUUCGUUGGGUAGGGGAGCGUUCUGUAAGCCUGUGAAGGUGUGUCGUGAGGCAUGCUGGAGGUAUCAGAAGUGCGAAUGCUGACAUAAGUAACGAUAAAGCGGGUGAAAAGCCCGCUCGCCGGAAGACCAAGGGUUCCUGUCCAACGUUAAUCGGGGCAGGGUGAGUCGACCCCUAAGGCGAGGCCGAAAGGCGUAGUCGAUGGGAAACGGGUUAAUAUUCCCGUACUUGGUGUUACUGCGAAGGGGGGACGGAGAAGGCUAUGUUGGCCGGGCGACGGUUGUCCCGGUUUAAGCGUGUAGGUGUGUGUUCCAGGUAAAUCCGGUUCACUUUAACACUGAGGCGUGACGACGAGGCACUACGGUGCUGAAGCAACAAAUGCCCUGCUUCCAGGAAAAGCCUCUAAGCAUCAGGUAACACGAAAUCGUACCCCAAACCGACACAGGUGGUCAGGUAGAGAAUACCAAGGCGCUUGAGAGAACUCGGGUGAAGGAACUAGGCAAAAUGGUGCCGUAACUUCGGGAGAAGGCACGCUGACACGUAGGUGAAGUGAUUUACUCAUGGAGCUGAAGUCAGUCGAAGAUACCAGCUGGCUGCAACUGUUUAUUAAAAACACAGCACUGUGCAAACACGAAAGUGGACGUAUACGGUGUGACGCCUGCCCGGUGCCGGAAGGUUAAUUGAUGGGGUCAGCGUAAGCGAAGCUCCUGAUCGAAGCCCCGGUAAACGGCGGCCGUAACUAUAACGGUCCUAAGGUAGCGAAAUUCCUUGUCGGGUAAGUUCCGACCUGCACGAAUGGCGUAAUGAUGGCCAGGCUGUCUCCACCCGAGACUCAGUGAAAUUGAACUCGCUGUGAAGAUGCAGUGUACCCGCGGCAAGACGGAAAGACCCCGUGAACCUUUACUAUAGCUUGACACUGAACAUUGAGCCUUGAUGUGUAGGAUAGGUGGGAGGCUUUGAAGUGUGGACGCCAGUCUGCAUGGAGCCGACCUUGAAAUACCACCCUUUAAUGUUUGAUGUUCUAACGUGGACCCGUAAUCCGGGUUGCGGACAGUGUCUGGUGGGUAGUUUGACUGGGGCGGUCUCCUCCUAAAGAGUAACGGAGGAGCACGAAGGUUGGCUAAUCCUGGUCGGACAUCAGGAGGUUAGUGCAAUGGCAUAAGCCAGCUUGACUGCGAGCGUGACGGCGCGAGCAGGUGCGAAAGCAGGUCAUAGUGAUCCGGUGGUUCUGAAUGGAAGGGCCAUCGCUCAACGGAUAAAAGGUACUCCGGGGAUAACAGGCUGAUACCGCCCAAGAGUUCAUAUCGACGGCGGUGUUUGGCACCUCGAUGUCGGCUCAUCACAUCCUGGGGCUGAAGUAGGUCCCAAGGGUAUGGCUGUUCGCCAUUUAAAGUGGUACGCGAGCUGGGUUUAGAACGUCGUGAGACAGUUCGGUCCCUAUCUGCCGUGGGCGCUGGAGAACUGAGGGGGGCUGCUCCUAGUACGAGAGGACCGGAGUGGACGCAUCACUGGUGUUCGGGUUGUCAUGCCAAUGGCACUGCCCGGUAGCUAAAUGCGGAAGAGAUAAGUGCUGAAAGCAUCUAAGCACGAAACUUGCCCCGAGAUGAGUUCUCCCUGAGACUUAGAGUCUCCUGAAGGAACGUUGAAGACGACGACGUUGAUAGGCCGGGUGUGUAAGCGCAGCGAUGCGUUGAGCUAACCGGUACUAAUGAACCGUGAGGCUUAACCUU